rnacentral:tRNA from 1 species
GACCGCGUAGUUCAGUUGGCAGAGCAUUGGGCUAGUAUUCCAAAGAUCGUAGGUUCGAUUCCCACCGUGGCCA